AUGAUCCAGGCCUUGUUCUUCCCCGUGCCAUGGCGCUUCGGGUCCCAGCAAGGGCCCCUGUCCUGCCACCCACCAGUGGCCUCAUUCUGGGGAGGCCCCACAAAUAGGGAGGGAGAGACCGACAGCCCCUCAAUUGCCAGCCCUGACGCCCAGAAGCUGCUCGAGACAGACAUCAUGGAAAGCAUGCCAACGGAGGUCUGGGAAGAAGAGCAAGAUGAUCCACGCCCUCCUCAGAUGCUCCAAGCACACACGAUCACGUCUGGGCUGAAUUUCCGCUGGGGCCUACCCCUCCUGUCCUUGGGGCCUGCGGCUCCGAAAGCAUGUGAGGCUCAACCCUUGGCCCUUCCACGGUCCCCUCUGCCCCCCGCAGCCACCUGGGAUUCUGGGGCCCCCUCUCAAGUUGACUCUGCACGCUUCAUGGGAAAACCUCUUGAGCCUCCUCCGGGUGACCAGGUCUUAACUUUGACGACAAAACCAUCAGUUCCCAGGCUGGCCCGUCCCCUCCCUGCUCCCUCACCUGUGUGUGAGGAAAAUCAGAAGGCCCUGGGAGGGACCCUACCUGGCGAUGGCAGUGGGCCCUCAGAAGCCUCUCUCUCAGGACAGGAGGGCCGGCCGCCUUCUCCAACCUUCCCACGCAGCCUCUCAGAGAGAAAAGGGCAGGGUGGGACCUUCGUGGGGGCCGAGCAAGGCCGUCGGGGGCCGACUUCAGGCUCCCCAGUGGCCAGGGAAGAGCCUCGGGAGGAGAGUAGCAGUGGGGCCUCACCAGAGCCCUGCCGUGGGGUGGCAACACUGGACGGGGAGUCAGGGUGCCAGUCUCGGAGCCAGGUCGAGGACAUGGGAGACACCCUCGAGACCAAACCCCUCCUGCCCCCGCCUGCAAAGGAAGAGGAUCUUCACGACAGCCGUUUCAGAAAAAUGUUGAGACGCCUCCUGCCCUGCCUGAGGCCCAACAAGGAGGAAGCGCGAGAGGAUCCCCUCGCAAAGGCAAGCCCGCCUCAGCCACCGCCCAGAGCCGGGCACGGGUCACACACAGCUCGGCGUCGGAUGGCGGGGCUGUUCAGGCGCCAUCGACAGUGA
rnacentral:lncRNA from 1 species